CCUACGGGAGGCAGCAGUGAGGAAUAUUGGUCAAUGGGCGCGAGCCUGAACCAGCCAAGUAGCGUGAAGGAUGACUGCCCUACGGGUUGUAAACUUCUUUUAUCAAGGAAUAAAGUGUGGCACGUGUGCCUUUUUGUAUUUACUUUAUGAAUACGGAAAGGCUAACUCCGUUCCAGCAUACGCGGUAAUACGGUGGAUGCGAGCGUUACCUGGAUUUAGUGGGUUUAACGGGAGCGUAGAUGGGUUGUUGAGUCAGAUGUGAAAGUUUGCGGCACAACCGGAAAAUUGCAAUUGAUACGGGCAAGCUUGAGUACAGUUGAGGUAGGCGGAAUUCGAUGUGGAGCGGUGAAAUGCUUAGAGAGCAGGAAGAACACCGAUGGCGAAGGCAGCAUACUAAAC
rnacentral:rRNA from 1 species